ACCAGUGUCGUAUAGUGGUUUGAAUGUUGGACUAUGGCUCUGGAGACCAAGAUUCGAAUCCUGGCUCAGUCA